ACUUAAAUAGUUUAAUUUAAAAUUUUGAUUUGUGGUGUCAAAGAUGUAAAGUUUUACUUUAGGUA
rnacentral:tRNA from 1 species